rnacentral:rRNA from 1 species
CAGUAGCCGCGGUAAUACCAGCAGCCCAGGUGGUGGUCGCGUUUAUUGGGCCUAAAGCGCUCGUAGCCUGGCCGGUAAGUUCCCCGUGAAAUCGGGUCGCCCAACGAUUCGGCUUGCGGGGAAUACUGUCGGUCUUGGGGCCGGGAGACGCCGAGGGUACUCCGGGGGUAGCGGUGAAAUGCUGUAAUCCUCGGGGGACUACCAGUGGCGAAGGCGCUCGGCGAUAACGGGCCUGACGGUGAGGGGCGAAAGCUGGGGGCGCGAACGGGAUUAGAUACCCGUGUAGUCCCUGUCUCUUAUA